UACGUAGGGUGCAAGCGUUAAUCGGAAUUACUGGGCGUAAAGCGUGCGCAGGCGGCUUUGCAAGACAGAUGUGAAAUCCCCGGGCUUAACCUGGGAACUGCAUUUGUGACUGCAUGGCUGGAGUGCGGCAGAGGGGGAUGGAAUUCCGCGUGUAGCAGUGAAAUGCGUAGAGAUGCGGAGGAAUACCGAGUGGCGAAGGCAGGUCUCUGGGCUGACACUGACGCUCAUGCACGAAAGGCGUGGGAGCAAACAGG
rnacentral:rRNA from 1 species